AGGGAUCGAACCCAGGCCCACCUGCGUUGGGAGCACAGAGUCUUAACCACUGUGCCACCAGGGAAGUCCCCCUUGUUUCCUGUACAUAGAGAAAGACUUUAGUUUCCUAGGCCUUCCCUGAGCUCCAAAGAGCAGAUUCAAGUAGUUACUAACUAGAGAGGUGAGAGAGUACAGAAAGAAAGGAAAAGCAGUCAAAUAAAAACAGUAAUGACAGUUGGAACAAUAGUUCAGUGGUAAAAUACUCACAGGAAUUCUAGUUCCUUCUGAAAGGUUAUAGAUAACAAUCUGAUGCAUAUUCUUGAGUUGUUUUGCAGAAACAAGACCUCCAGCCAGGUGGAGGAUGGUGACUACAUGAUGACAACAAGCACGUAGGCCUGAGACUGGUUGGAAACCAGAAGUUGAUGAUGAAGAUUCCUGAAAAUCACCCUGUGACCUUACCAGCAACCAAUCAGAAGAAAGUAGACUACAUUCCAUGGAAAUCUGGGUGCGUCCCCUUUAAGAAGCGUGGUUCUGCGGAUAUCUGGGUGCGUCCCCUUUAAGAAGCGUGAACCCCCGCCAGUACUCAGAGCCUUGGGACACUCCUUCCCAGCUACCCUCAGGGUGAGGAGGAAAUUUCCCAGAGGUGGGGAGCACUGCCGCUUGACAGGUCGUAGAGCGCUGUGAACCACAUUACCCCGAAGGCAAAGCGCGGCGCGUAAGGGUCCCUGAACCAAUGACGGCUCAGGAGAGAGCCACUUCCGUUCUAGGGGGCGGUGUCUGGGCGGGCCUUCCGGCGUCGACCGCGGGCGACAUUUUUAAACUCGGACCUGUUCGCUGGUGCGCGCUUCGGUACCUUGGGUCGGCACCAGGUAAAGGGAGCCAGGAGGGCGCUGUGUCCGCUGCUCUGAGGAAAGGCUGAGGCUCCGCGUGGACGCCAUCCGGCCUGACUCUGUCUCGGGGCCGGGAGGGGCCUCCGUGCCCGGGCCCCACCAUUGCCCACAGACUCCGCUGGGACGGCCACGCCGAUGGGUGCGAUUCAGGCCACACUGCGCAGCUAGCAGUAUCUUAGUUCCCAGACCAGGGAUGGAAAUCGAACCCAUGGCAGUGAAAGCACCAAGUUUUAACCUCUGAACCACCAGGGAAUUCUGAGAUUCAUUUUCAGUGUGAAGUCAACAAAUGGUGGUUCCCAUCUCUACUGCAGGAGAAAAAAGCAGGUUCCACAUUCAGCAGAACCACUUAUGGACCCUGCACUGGGCCCUGUGACCUUUGAGGACGUGGCUGUGUACUUUUCCCAGGAGGAGUGGAAGCUUCUUGAUGAGGCCCAGAGAUUCCUGUACCACGAUGUGAUGCUGGAGACCUUUGCACUUGUUGCAUCAUUGGGACUUGCAUCUUCUAGGUCCCAUGUUGUCCAGCUGGAGCUGAGAGGAGAACCCUGGGUACAUGACAGAGUGGACAUGACUCCAGACAGAGCAAGAGGGGCUCAAAUUGGGCCUGGCCCUGGGUGUUGGUAUAUGGCAGAGAACAAGCAGACACCCUCUGAGCAGAGUGUUUCUGUAGAAGUGCCACAAAUAAAUACUUCAGAGGCAGACCUGUCCACCCUGAAGUCCUAUCCCUGGGAGAGGUACUGCCUGUACUUAGAAGGUGGUUUGCAUCUAGCUGAGGACCUUGGCACAAACCCUGGCCAGAAACUCUGUGGGGCAGGUGUGCAGUUUCACCAGCACAGUGGAGAGGAACUCUUUAGAAGAGACGUGGGUAAGACCUUUAUGAAGAGCCGCACCAUCCAUGCAUCCAAGAAGUCUUUCACAUUCCAGGAGCCUUGGAAGGAUUUCCCUUGUAGCUCUGGCCUUCUCCAGCACCAGGUCACUCCACAAAAGGACACCGAGUUUGUAGAGGCCUUUCACAAUGGAGAAAAGCGUUACAAGUGCAGUGAAUGUGGGAAAGCCUUCUGCCGCAAAUACAGACUUGCUCAGCACCAGAGAGUCCACACUGGAGAAAGGCCUUAUGAAUGCAGUGAAUGUGGGAGAGUCUUUAGAUGCAACUCCAACCUUGUUAUACAUAGAAGAAUUCACACUGGGGAAAGGCCUUAUGAGUGUAGAGAAUGUGGGAAGUUCUUUAGGCAAAACGCCCAACUUAUUGUGCACCAGAGAAUUCACACUGGAGCCAAGCCUUACGAGUGCAGUGAAUGUGGGAAAACCUUCAUUACUAAAAGCAAACUUGUUCAGCACCAGAGAGUCCACACUGGAGAGAGACCUUAUGAAUGUGGAGAAUGCAGAAAAGCCUUCACCUAUAAACGCAUGCUUGUUCAGCAUCAGAGAGUCCACACUGGAGAGAGGCCUUAUGAGUGCAGUGAAUGUGGGAAAGUCUUUAGGUACAUUGCCAGCCUCAUUAAACAUAGAAGAAUUCACACUGGGGAAAGGCCUUAUGAGUGUAGUGAAUGUGGGAAGUCCUUUAGGCAAAGGGCCCACCUUCAGGUCCACCAGAGAAUUCACACUGGAGCAAAAACUUACAAGUGCAGUGAAUGUGGGAAAUGUUUUAGCCAAAACUCUAUUCUCACUACGCACCAGAGAGUUCACACUGGCGAAAGGCCUUAUAAGUGCAGUGAAUGUGGAAAGUGUUUUAGUCAAAGCUCUACUCUUAUUAAGCACCAGAGUUCACAUUGGAGGAAAACCAUAUGAGGAGAACUCUGAAUGAGGAGAAUUAUUUAGCCAAAGCAUCCAGCUUACUCAACACCGAAAAGCUCACACCACAGAAAGGCCUCAUCAGUGCAGCAAAUGUGGAAAGGUUUUCUGUCAAAGGUCUGCUCUGAGCACUAGAAACUUCACAGCUCAGAUAGACCCUAUGAGUACAGCAAAUGUAGGAAAGCUUUCAGCCAAAGGUCUUAACCUUAUUCGAUACCAGAAAGUUCAUACUGGAGAAGGGCCUUCAAAUGAGAUGAGGAGAGCAGCGAAUGAGCUGUCUCCUUAGUUAAUACAUCAUACUGAAUAGACUCUUUGAGGAAGUCAUCAACUGGAAGUUGAAUGCCAUACAUCUGAACAGCCCUCGUGUGCAGAUUGCCUAUGAGUACCGGGUUCAUAGGAAGCUUUUCAGGAGCUACGCUCUACUUUCUAACCUGUGCAAGGCCCUUUUUGGACUCAAUAUCACUAAGUUUUUUACCUCUCCCAUGUGGCAGAUCCCAGUCCUGGGGCAUCAGUCAUCGCACUGUGAUCAGGGUUUUGGAAACAUCUGAAAUAUUAUGGCUGUCUCUCUGUGAUCAGCGAAGACUACAUUCCAUGGAAAUCUGGGUUCGUCUCCUUUAAGAAGCGUGAAACCCCGCCCCCGUCCUCAGAGCCUCCAGGACACUCCUUCCCAGGAGCCCCGGCAGUGAGGCGGGGCUUUUCCUGUAGGCGGGGAGCACCGCCCCUUGCCAGGUUCUAGAGGCCUGUGAACUGCAUUACCUGAAAAAAAACUACGCCAGUUCGUGGGCGCCCCUGAGCCAAUGAAGGCUCAGGAAAGAGCCACUUCCGUUCUAGAGGACGGAGUCUGGGCGGCUUUUCCGGCGUCGACUGGGGUCGUUAUUUUGUAAACUCGGCUGUGUUCACAGGCGGGGAACUUCGCAACGCUGUGAAGGCCAGAGGUCAGGGAGCCAGGAAGGCGCCGUGCCCGCUUCUCUGAGCUUCGUCUGAGGCUCGGCGUGGGCGCCAUCCGGCCUGACUCUGUCUUGGGCGGUUGGUGCCGCAGUGCCCGGGCCCCACCUUCGCCCACAAACUCCGCUGGCGCCGGCGCAGAUGUGUCGGAUUCAGGGCCCUGUGACCUUUGAGGACGUGGCUGUGUACUUUUCCCAGGAGGAAUGGAAGCUUCUUAAUGAGGCGCAGAGAUUCCUGUCCUCUGAUGUGAUCCUGGAGACCUCUGUACUUGUGUCGUUGGGUUGUUGGCACAGAGCAGAGAGCACAAGGAGAUAACUUCUGAGCAGAAUGUUUUUCUGUAGAAGUGCCACGAAUAAAUACUUCAGACAGACCUGUCCAUCUGGAAGUCCUAUCCCUGGGAGAGGUGCUGCCUGGCCUUAGACAGUAGUUUGUGUGUAGCUGAAGACUUGGGAACAAUUCCUGGCCAGAAACUGUGUGUGUCAGGUGUGAAAUUUCACCAGCACAGUGGAGGGAAACUCUUUAGAAGAGACAUGGGUAAGGCCUUUAUGAGGAGCCACAUAGUCCAUGCAUCCAAGAACUCUUUCACAUGCCAGGAGGCUGGGAAGGAUUUCCCUGGUAGCUCUAGCCUUCUCCAGCACCAGGUAACUCCACAAAAGGAUGGUGGCUGCACAGUGGUGUUUCACAAUGGUCAACGUCUCUAUAAGUGCCAUGAAUGUAGGAAAGUCUACCCCUGGAUGUAUAGGCUUGCAGAGCGUGAGAGUCCACACAGGAGAGAGGCCUUAUGAAGACAGUCACACUGGAGAAAAAAACACAUGCAUGCACUAAAUAUGGAGAAUUCUUCAGCCAAAGCACCCAGCUUACUGAACACCAAACAAACAGGUCACACCACAGAAAAAGACCAUAUGAGUGCAGCAAAUGUAAGAAAGCUUUCAGCCAAAGGUCUAUAACCUCAUCUGUCACCAGAGUUCCUCCUACUGGAGAAAGGCCUUCAAAUGAGAUGAGAGCAGCAAAUGAGCUGCUGUCUCCUUAGUUACAUCAUUCUGAAUAGGCUCUGUGAGCAACUCAUCAACAGAAGUUGAAUGCCAUACAUCUGAACAGCCCUAGUGUGCAGACUGCCUGUGAGUAGGAGGUUUGUAGGAAGCUUUUCAGGAGCUAUGCUGUUGUACUUUCUGACUUACUGUCACGGGGUCUUUAUGUUUCAUAUUCUAAUUUUUUUUUUUUGGCCACAUCACACACCAUGGUGCAUCUACCCCAACCAGGGAUCGAACCUGUGGCCCCUGCAGUGGAAGUACAGAGAAAUCUUACCCCUGGACCACGGAAGCCCCUGGUUUCAUAUUUCAAAAUGAAUGAAUAGGGUUGUAUCCCUUUUGCAUUCUAACAGUAUGGGAACCUUCCAUCUCCUGUGUUCCUCACCAGUAGUGGGCUGGUAUGGUUAGUGUUUUGAAUAUUACCUGUUUUAAAAGUGUGGACACAUGCCUCACUGUGGUCUGAUGCACUUCCCUAGUGAUUCAGGAUGUUGAACAUUCCUGUGUUCAUUUGCCAGGUGUAUGUCUUCUUUGAUUAAAUGUCUUUAUUAGCUACUGUGGAGACAAUAAAAAGAAAUGUG